AUGGAAUCCAGUACAAAUAAUGUGACUGAGUUAAUUUUCGCUGGCCUUUUCCAGGAUCUGGAGGUGCAGAGAGUGUGUUUUGUUGUGUUUCUUCCCAUGUACCUGGCCACAUUGGUGGGCAAUGGCCUCAUUGUCCUGACAAUCAACGUCAGUAAGAGUCUGCAUUCCCCCAUGUACUUCUUCCUUAGCUACCUUUCCCUGGUGGAGAUCACUUACUCCUCUACUAUUGUCCCUAAAUUCAUCACAGACUUACUUGCCAAGAUUAAAACCAUUUCCCUGGAGGGCUGUGUGGCUCAGAUAUUCUUCUUCCACUUCUUUGGGGUCACUGAGAUCCUUUUGCUUGUGGUGAUGGCCUAUGACCGCUAUGUGGCCAUCUGCAGGCCUCUUCAUUAUAUGAACGUUAUGAGCCACCAACUGUGUCAUGUACUGGUGACUGGCUCCUGGCUUGGUGGCUUUUUUCAUUCCAUUAUACAGAUUCUCAUCACCAUCCGGUUGCCCUUCUGUGGUCCCAAUGUGACUGACCACUACUUCUGUGAUCUUCAGCCAUUAUUCAAACUUGCCUGCACUGACACUUCUAUGGAGGGGGUUAUUGUGUUGGCUAACAGUGGCUUAAUUGCUCUGUGCUCCUUCCUCAUCUUGGUGUCCUCCUAUGUUGUCAUCCUGUUCAACUUGAGGAACCAUUCUGCAGAGGGGAGGCACAAAGCCCUCUCCACCUGUGCCUCUCACAUCAUGGUGGUCCUCUUGUUCUUUGGACCUGCCACCUUCCUCUACAUGCGAGCCUCCUCCACCUUCACUGAGGACAAACUGGUGGCUGUGUUCUACACAGUUGUCACCCCCAUGCUGAACCCCAUCAUCUACACACUCAGAAAUGCAGAGGUGAAAAUUGCCAUGAGGAGGUUGGGGGGCAAAAAGAACUCAGGAAUGGAGUGAAAAAUGGGAAAGUGA